rnacentral:rRNA from 1 species
CAGCCGCCGCGGUAAUACGGAGGGUGCGAGCGUUACCCGGAUUUACUGGGUGUAAAGGGCGUGUAGGCGGUCUCUUUAGUCCGAUGCUAAAGACCGAAGCUCAACUUCGGGAGUGCGUUGGAUACUGUGAGGCUAGACGGUCGGAGAGGGUAGCGGAAUUUCCGGAGUAGCGGUGAAAUGCGCAGAUACCGGAAGGAACGCCAAUAGCGAAAGCAGCUACCUGGACGAUUUGUGACGCUGAGGCGCGAAAGCGUGGGGAGCAAACCGGAUUAGAUACCCGGGUAGUCCACGCCCUAAACGUUGAGUGCUGGGUGUCCGACAUCUGUUGGGUGCCGUAGCUAACGCGUUAAGCACUCCACCUGGGAAGUACGGUCGCAAGACUGAAACUCAAAGGAAUUGACGGGGGCCCGCACAAGCGGUGGAGCAUGUGGUUUAAUUCGAAGCAACGCGCAGAACCUUACCAGGUCUUGACAUGUAGGGAAGCCCGGUGAAAGCCAGGUGUGCCCGCAAGGGAACCCUAACACAGGUGCUGCAUGGUCGUCGUCAGCUCGUGUCGUGAGAUGUUGGGUUAAGUCCCGCAACGAGCGCAACCCUUGUUGCUAGUUGCCAUCAGUCCGGCUGGGCACUCUAGCGAGACUGCCUACGAAAGUAGGAGGAAGGCGGGGAUGACGUCUGAUCCGCAUGGCCCUUACGACCUGGGCGACACACGUGCUACAAUGCCGCGCACAGAGCGACGCUACUUCGCAAGAAGACGCAAAUCGCAUAAAUCGCGGCUCAGUUCGGAUUGGGGUCUGCAACUCGACCCCAUGAAGCUGGAAUCGCUAGUAAUCGUGAAUCAGCCACGUCACGGUGAAUACGUUCCCGGGCCUUGUACACACCGCCCGU